AUUUUUUAAUUUAUUUUAUUUUUCUUCUUCAAGUCAGAGAUCAAUUACAAAAUAGAAAAAAUUAAAAAAUUUCAGACGGUAUACCUUUUGGCUCUGGAAUACUGAUUUGUUACAAGUCGCGGAUAGCACUAUACGGAAUGCACAACCGAGAUAAAGCACUGCACCUGCUAAUCAGGCAAUCGGCUGAUCGAGCAAUCAGAUCUGAUCUAUUUUUUUAUGACAGCCGAUCAGUCGAUCGGGUAAUUAAAACUGCCGGCACCAACUCGAAUUGCGCGUUUGUGCACAAUGGCCACUCUUCCAUAUAAGCCAAUGUAAAUCGUAGCGAGAAGAAGGCGAUAAAGGUCAGAACGAAAUCUGAUUAAUGGUGCGCCAGCAAUAAGGGUGGAGAUCGAAUGUGCGUACGUUGGCGCGAAAGAAAGAAGAGAGAGGGCAUCGUUGGAGAGAGACGGAACGUUACAAAAUAUCUCGGCGACCUCAAGUUGACUAUAUAUACUAGCCCAACGCCGCAGACACCACCAAAGGUAUCUGUACAUUUUUAACUUCACCACCAACACUCCAACAAACACCAAAAUGUACAAGAUCGCUCUUGCCCUCUUCGCCCUCGUCGCCGCCGCCUCAGCCGGCUACGUAGCCCCCUACAGCUACCCAGCCUACCCAGCGGCCCCAGCUUACGGUAUGCAUCACCCUACAGCUACGCCCACGCCCCCGUAGCCGCCCCAGUCGUCUACAAGGCCCCCGUCGUCGCCCACGCUCCCGUUGUAGCCCACGCCCCAGUCGCUGUUGCCCACGCUCCAGUCGCCACCUCAUACGCCAACACCUACAAGGUCUCAGUUAAGGCCCCAGUCGCCUACGCUGCCCCCGCCUACGGCUACGCCGCCCCCGCCUACCCCCCCCGCCUACGCCCCAGUAGUCAAGUCCUACGCCGCCCCCGCCUACGCUCCCGCCUACGCCCAUACGCCGCCGCCCCCGUGUACGCUCACGGAUACUCCAGCUACUACCACUAAGCUAGUCGCCUGAGAGCCACCAACACUGCCAUCAACCACUCCCCUCAACCUCUUUCCUUGAAAAUCUCACGUUUUAAAUUAAUUUAAUUUAUUCUCAGCCAUUAGUGUAAAUAAUUUGCUCAAGUUUCACAAUGAAAACCAAGUCAUGUAAAGUACCAUGUUUUAUUAACAUGUGAAGAAUAAAACAACCUGCCAUCGAAUACGUUUUGAUCAUUAUUAUUCCGAUGUCCUCUACACUGAAAAAAAAUCUCGGUGUAUUUACCAAGAAAAGGGUCAAAUUACAGAGAAAUCAGGGUUCUAUUUGAUCCCAGUUUUUCUUGGUAAAAUUACCAUUUAUGGAAU
rnacentral:lncRNA from 1 species